UACGUAGGUCCCGAGCGUUGUCCGGAUUUAUUGGGCGUAGAGCGAGCGCAGGUGGUUUAUUAAGUCUGAUGUAAAAGGCAGUGGCUCAACCAUUGUAUGCAUUGGAAACUGGUAGACUUGAGUGCAGGAGAGGAGAGUGGAAUUCCAUGUGUAGCGGUGAAAUGCGUAGAUAUAUGGAGGAACACCGGUGGCGAAAGCGGCUCUCUGGCCUGUAACUGACACUGAGGCUCGAAAGCGUGGGGAGCAAACAGG
rnacentral:rRNA from 1 species